ensembl:processed_transcript
AGAGUUUCAAGGCGUCUGACUGAAAACUUGGGAAUUCUGUAAUCUCACCAUGUCGUUUGAAGGCCACCAUAACAAACAUAUGCAAUAUGGUGAGUGCUUUUUAAAUUGUUUCUUAAAGUAAAAUGCACAGUACUAGUCACUGUCUAGUCCUAGUGGGCUUAGGAACUAGUGCAGUGCAAAAAGUACAAUUCCCUUCUCUUGCAACCCACUGCUGUGCUGUUCCAAUAGCAGUGUUACUAAUGAGAAGAGACAUUACUACAGGAAUUUUACCUAUUUAUUUUUAUGCAAGUGGCUAAAUUCUAUUUACUUACAGGUUUCGGGUGACAUUUCAGGUCCUCCUGUGAACUGAAGGCACCAGAAUGGGAAAUGGUAUCAGACCUGGGAGUAUUCAUAAACUUAAACCUAAGAAAACCUAAAAGAUGAACGUCCACUAGAUGGUGCCGCACCCGUUUUCAUGCUGAUGGAGGACUGUUGGAGCUCCCAUAUGGCAGGACUAAAGAAGGAAUGGAGGUCUUCAAUCUUGCGCAGUUCUACAGUUUGAAAAAAAUGAAAGCGUUUCCUAACCAGGCUUUUCCA